rnacentral:rRNA from 1 species
CCCUUAGAUGUUCUGGGCCGCACGCGUGCUACACUGAUGCAUUCAACGAGUCUAAAACCUGGUCUGAUAGGGCUGGGUAAUCUUUUGAAAGUGCAUCGUGAUUGGGAUAGAUGAUUGCAAUUCUUCAUCUUCAACGAGGAAUGCCUAGUAAACGCAUGUCAUCAGCUUGCAUUGAUUACGUCCCUGCCCUUUGUACACACCGCCCGUCGCUCCUACCGAUUGAAUGAUCCGAUGAAUACCAUGGAUUGAGAGUACGAAUAGGUUCGCUUAUUUCUGCUGCUCGAGAAGUGGAGUAAAUCUUAUCAUUUAGAGGAAGGAGAAGUCGUAACA